CGCCUUCUAUACUAAUCAAUGAUAUUAUGUUGAUAAUCCUAAGUAUAAAGCUAAGCUUUAAUACAACUGUCACAUAAACUUAACAUUAACCAAGAUAACUAAACAAAGACCAAUGAACCUUGAAAAUGAGGUCAAGGUCAGAUGAACCAUGCCAGGCAGACAUGUACAGCUAACAAUGCUUCUAUACAACAUAUAUAGUUGACCUAUUACUUAUAGUUUAAGAAAAAUAGACCAAAACACAAAAACUUAACACUGCGC
rnacentral:lncRNA from 1 species